rnacentral:lncRNA from 9 species
UUUUUAGAGUUGCACCGGCGGCAUAUGGAGGUUCCCAGGCUAGGGGUCAGAUCGGAGCUCUAGCUGCCGGCCUACACCACAGCUCACAGCAAGGCAGGAUCUGAGCUACAUCUGUGACCUACACCACAGCUCAUGGCCACGCAGAAUCCUUAACCCACUGAGCAAGGCCAGGGAUCAAAUCUGUGUCUUCAAGGGUGAGAAUUGGGUUUGUUGACUGCUGAGCCACAACGAGAACUCCCUGUUUUUGUUUUUGUUUUUUUUUCUCUGUAUUACACUUCUCAUCCUCAAAACAAUCGUAGAAAAUAGGUACUGUUUCAGUCUCUAUUUAUAGGGAAACUGAGGCACCGAGCGACAUGCCAUGGGGGAUGGGAACCCACGCCAUCAAAAUCCCUGCUGGUAACCACUUGGGUCCGCUUGCCUGUCUCAACAUGGAGAGGAAAUUACUAGGUUGAGUUAUAUAAAAAGCUGUCAAUAUUCGACCACUUUUGACCUACAAAACCGGCAGAGGCCUAGGGCUCAUUCUAAUAGCAAACUGCAGCACCGCACACACAGGAAGACACAUCCACGUGCAUUUGUGCAUUUUUCCAGCCUAGAGAUGAGUCGGGGCCCCAGGCUGUGCAGGAAACCACGCACAGGCCCGCGCAAAUAUGACAACAUUUUCAGAAAAGCACAUGUCCGAGGGAGAAGUGGCAGGGAGGGGACUCAAGCGACCAGAAGGUCACCUGUCAUCUUUUUCUUUUUAAAUAAAAGGCAGCCUCCUCCCUGGUGGCCUGUGGUCCACCUCCUAGUUGGAGGCUGGUUGGAAUCUUCCUCCCCUCUCUCCAUGGUAGCCUUCUGCCCCCCCACCCCUGACCCCACACAGCUCAUCCAUGAGCAGCGGGUCCCCAGGGCCUGGUCUCCAGAGCCUCUCCACUCAGGCGGGAGAAGCUCUCCCCACCUAGGAUCCAGUUUCAUUUAAUUGCAGGCUUCAGGUUUCUGGACGCAGGCCCAGAGGCCUUCGGGGCCGAAGGCGUGGGCCAUUUUCUUCCUCUUUUCAAUAAAGCCGGGAAGCAAGCAGCAUGUGGCAUCAGGGGUCUGUUCCCAGAGCGCGGGGCACCUGCUCCUUAGGGACGCAGCUGUGGCAUGGGAGACCCCACCAAGGAGAAUCAUCUGUGGCUCAUCAUGGGUGGGGGGACAGCCUAGGGGCACAUUUUUUUUCUCUGGCCCUUCACUGGAACCAGGUACCCCGCUGGAUUUGAAGGAAUUAAGAAAAAAAAGAGAGAAGUUCCCACUGUGGCUCAUCAGGUUAUGUACCCCCCCAGAGUGUCCGUGAGGAUGCAGGUUCAAUCCCUGGCCUCGCUCAGUGGGUUAAGGAUCCAAUGCUACCCUGAGCUGUGGUGUAGGUCGCAGAUGCAGCUCGGAUCUGGCAUUGCUGUGGCUGUGGUGUAGGCCAGCGGCUACAGCUCUGAUUCAACCCCUAGCCUAGGAACCUCUAUGUACCAUAAGUGUGGCGAGAGAAAGAAAGAAAGAGGAGAAAAAACACACAAACACAUAUCCCUACUUCACACCACUCUUUCCCUGCUUCAAAACUUCCAAAUGAUUAUCUCUCUGCUUCUAGAUUUUUUUUUUACUUCAUUUAAAAAAAAAAAAAUUUUGGGAGUUCCCGUCGUGGCGCAGUGGUUAACGAAUCUGACUAGGAACCAUGAGGUUGCAGGUUCGGUCCCUGCCCUUGCUCAGUGGGUUAACGAUCCGGCGUUGCCGUGAGCUGUGGUGUAGGUUGCAGACGCAGCUCGGAUCCCACGUUGCUGUGGCUCUGCAUAGGCUGGUGGCUACAGCUCCAAUUAGCCCCCUAGCCUGGGAACCUCCAUAUGCCGUGGGAGCAGCCCAAGAAAUGGCAAAAAGACAAAAAAAAAAAAAAAAAAAAAAAAUUUUGGCCCUACCCAUGGCAUUCAUAAGUUCUCAGGCCAGGGAAUCAAACCUGCACCAUAGCAGCAACCCAAGCCGCUGCAGUGACAACACAGGAUCAUUAACCGGCUACGCCACAAGGAAACUCCACAUCUCAUUUUCUUCUCCGGCAUAGACAGCCCUUUACAGUUUGCAGGCCCUCUCUUCACUCUGUGUCUCUCACCCACAGCCCCAGGUCAAGGCCAAGACACUGCAAAGUCACUUGAUUCCAUAGUCACUGGCGGCAGGGACACACAGGUUCUCAAUGACUGGGUUGCACCUGGCUGCUGGGGGUUCUCGGGGCAAGUGCCGGCUGUUUCUUCUCGAUGCUGUAACAAAUGAUCCCAAACAUGGUGGUCUAAAGCAGUGCAAGUAUAUUUAUCAUCUCGUAGUUCUGGAAGUCAGAAGUCCGAAGUGGAUCGUACACAGCUAAAAUCAGGGUGUCAGCAGGGCUGUGUUCCUGCUGCCAGCUCUUGGGAAAAAUGAAUUCCUUGUUUUUUUCCAGCCUCUAGAGGCUGCCUGCACUCCUGGGCUCCUUGCCCCUUCCUCCAUCCUCAAAGCUGGCAGCACAACAUCUUCAAACCUCUGGGACUAACCUCCGGCUUCCUCGGAAUAAGGACACUUGCGAUGACUCUGAGCCCACCUGGAUUAUCCAGGUAACAUCCCCAUCUCAAGGUCAAAUGACUGGCAUCCUUAAUUCCAUUUGCAAUCUUAAUUCCCCUUUGCCAUAGAACAUAAAAACACCCCAGGCUCUGGGGUUUAGGGACACGCACGCCUCUGGAGGAAACCAUUAUCCUCUUUGCCACAGGCUCCAAAAACCUCUGGACCUUGAGGGAACUGCUCCCUCUGACGGCCCACCCCACAAACACUGACCUCAGGCAGGCAACUGUCCACGGGGCUCAGUCUCUCCACUCUCAUAAAGCAAGGGCAGGCACAUCCCAUUCUGUCACCUACAUAGUGGAUACAUACCCCAGAGAUGCCCAGGGUAGCUUCUGAUGAAAAUGAGAAUCUGGCAGAGCCCUGUGGCAUAUCACUAGAGACCUCCCUAAGAUGACAACAAAGAGCUCAUCCGUCAAUUUUCUCAGGCACCUUUUUUUUUCUUGGACCAGCGACAAAUCACCCUAUUGUUUAUCCCCUACUCCAGCAAGACCCUUAACAGGGAAGACGCCCUGUUGAAACCUCCUUCACGUUCCUGCAUUCUAGGUCAAGGAUGCUGCUGGCACCAAGAAAGCACAUAACCUCUGGGGGAAAGAAAAGGUACAACUGAAAGGUACAAGUGACCUGCAGCACGACCCUCAUGCUUGGAAAACUGCCCAAGGACCAAGCCCUUACUACACAGCUGACGUUGGCCAGAAACAGGGGCAGGCGGUUAGCAGGGACGGGGAAGCAGAGGUCACCCAGUGCACCAAACAGCACAGCCACUCAGGGCAUCCUCGGUGUGGGUCAGCACCCUCCAACCCAUGGCUGCUGAUGACCACACCUCACUGACCCCUGCCCAGGAGCCGGUCCCCAGGGACAGGCAAGUCCUGACCCGUGACUCCAUAAUGACGUUAACAAUAUUAACCAUCGCAAUAUGACAUUUGAUAUAAAUACUCUCCUUGCUUCAAAAACCCCGUGCGUCUCUUUGCUGCCGGGAAAUCUGGGAGGAGGAUACCAAGGCCCAGAGAGGUUGUACAAAAAUUACACAGCAACACAGCAGUCAGGAUGGGUCGCACAUACCUGGUGCCCACCCCAUGGCCUGCCUCCCGGUCCUGAUCCUCCCAGCAGCUCCACCUAAUCCUCCCCCCACCUCCUUUCCACCCAGUAUCUAGAAAAGGCCCCUUUCUCCUGCCCUGGCUCCCUUGAUGCCCCCUCCCCCACCCCUCUACCUUUCUCCAAGGGAAACCUCCCCCCCAACCCUCACCGGUGUCCAACGGAGCCCUCCACACCUCCUUGGCUGCCAUCCAAACAUCCUAGAGAUGUUCUUUACAGCACAAGGAGCUCAGAGGCAUCCCGGACACAUGGCCAGGGGCCCAAAGGGCACAAAGAGAGCAGCAAGGGCCAGAAGGUCACAAAGCAAACCUGCAGAGUGACGCCUGGGGUGCACGCAAGCUUCCGCCUCGGCAUUCCCACAGGGAGAAGCUCAGUUCCAAGAGGCUCUGCGACAAGGGGCAGCAGCCAGCCAGAGCCCAGGUGCCACGAGAUGCAGCUUCCUGCCCGCAGCUCUGGCUGCUAUUUAUAGUCUAGACAGUGGGGUCAGCUUCCUGAGAGGCAGAGCCCAGGAGCCUGUGAGGAGCCCGAGAGGGUGACCCUGAGGGGGAUGGACCAGGCCGGGGCAGAGAGGUGGGCACGUGAUGGACCCAGGCCACCCCCCACCCCCACUCCAACCCUGGUCCAGAGUCCAAGGAAAAGGGAGACAUGAGGAAAGGUCAAGCCCUGCCUGUGACAGCGGCCCACCAAGAGAAGGCGCUUACAAGCUGGGUGCCCUGAGCCAAUGACAUCUGUGCCUUGAUGUCCCUACCAUUCAACGGGGAAAUGAACGGUUCUGGCCUCAACUGUUAUUGUGGUCAUUGCGAUGCUCGGGUUACUGUGCAGCUUAAAGGAGCUAACAUAAAGCAACGCGUAGUGAGCUCGCCCGUAAAACCUCUGCCAGCUCAGGGACCCACCCCACCCCCAGCUGCGCCCAGAGACCAGACAAAGAGGUGGAGAGGGGGCUGGCCUGCACACAACCCGUCCACGACAGGUCACCAUCACAGAGGCCACCCCACAUGCCCUAACCCACCACAGGCCCCGAGGAAGCAAGAAAGAC